UUUGUUUUGUUUUCACCUAUGACUUUUGAGAUUUUAAUCUCAGCAGGGUAGGGACUGCCUUGUGUUUUACAGUUGUACACUGCCUGUGCCUGGGAUCUUGAGCUGAUGUGCUAAUAAUGAAUAAGCAUAAUUUUCUUGGGGGAUACUCUUCAGUGAUUCAUCUGGAACUGACUGGACUGAUGAUAAAAUAGACCAUUUCCUUUGGAAGAAAAGAGCUCAUGAUAACUACUCGAUUAAAACAAUUUCUUUCUGGAGAGGUGAGCACAGGUGUUGUACUCAGUAGUGUUCAUCAUGGAUUUGCAUAGACUGAAUAGUACAUCAUGUCCCUCUUUCUCCUAAAUUUAGGGGAAUAGCAGCAUCCAUCUAAAUGUCUUUGAAGAAAUUAAUGACACGCAGUUUUCUUGCUGACCUGCAGCAAAGAGCACCCUCAAGCCCUAUGGGAGUCGGGGGAAGCUGCAGCUUCUUGAACACCUCUUAAGAUGGGUCUUAUCAGCUUGAUGCCUGCCCAUACCAUCAGCAGCUGCCUGUACUUACAUUUAUCCUCUUUGAGAGGGGAUAGCUGUUUCCUAAAGCCCCAAGCGUGAACUGAAUGCAUCAGAAACACGGACUUCAGGACUUGGUGUUUGCAGGGCUGCUCCAAAGUUGUUGUCUGACCUGAGUGUGUUUGCCUCUGCACGCUGCUUGUAGGACCAAGCCCUGCUGUGCUGCAGAGUCACCUCUGCUCCUCCUGGAGCCAGAGGCAGCUCAGGAUAAUCAGCACAUACAGAAAUAAGCU